GACCGACUGCGCUUCGCGACAGGAAACAAUUCCCCGGGGCCUUACGCAUCCUUAGGGAGCUGUCACUGAUUAGGCUCGUGGGCUUUUUCACACGGCGCCCACCUACAAAAGUAGGUUCCCGGGAUGCCGCUUUCCAUCGGCUGUCGUGGUCGGUCU
rnacentral:other from 1 species